rnacentral:misc_RNA from 1 species
CUGCGAAAAUUAAUGCGACCCGCAACACGUGAGUCAUCGAGUCUUUGAACGCAUAUUGCACCCGACAGGUUCACUUGUCGGGUCUGCCUGUCUGAGUAUCAAUACGGACCCAACCAAUAAAUCAUAUUUGUUGAGUUGGUGCUCACUGAUUUAUCAGUGGAUUUGAGUAUUCAAUUACCAAUUGUUAAUUGAUUAUUUGAAAUGUAUUAGUAUUUAGUCAAUCAGUUGAUAAUUGCCAACAGCUAUUAAGCAUUGUUAAUCAUCUUUUAUUAGGUGUUCCUUGCUCUACAAGUCGUUGGAAUCACGAUUAUUGACCAUUGUGUGCUUGCACAUAAUGUAGUAUUGAUUAGACCAAAAAGCACACUUUCUAUUAACUAACCCUUAGUAGAAAAGAGUACACUUUUUAACCAUCUUGAUCUCAGAUCAGGCAGGAUGACCCGCUGAACUUAA